rnacentral:misc_RNA from 1 species
GAUGAAGAACGCAGUGAAAUGCGAUAAGUAAUGUGAAUUGCAGAAUUCAGUGAAUCAUCGAAUCUUUGAACGCACAUUGCGCCCGCCAGUAUUCUGGCGGGCAUGCCUGUUCGAGCGUCAUUUCAACCAUCAAGCCCCAGGCUUGUGUUGGGGACCUGCGGCUGCCGCAGGCCCUGAAAACCAGUGGCGGGCUCGCUGUCACACCGGGCGUAGUAGAUUUUAUCUCGCUCUGGGCGUGCUGCGGGUUCCGGCCGUUAAAAAACCCUUUUAACCCAAGGUUGACCUCGGAUCAGGUAGGAAUACCCGCUGAACUUAAGCAUAUCAAUAAGCGGAGG